rnacentral:rRNA from 1 species
UACCCCGCCUGGGGAGUACGGCCGCAAGGCUAAAACUCAAAGAUAUUGACGGGGGCCCGACAAGCGGCGGAGCAUGUGGAUUAAUUCGAUGCAACGGAAGAACCUUACCUGGGUAUGCAGGACGUGCCUAGAGAUAGGUAUUCCCUUAGUGGCCUGUGUGCANGUGGUGCAUGGCUGUCGUCAGUCGUGUCGUGGAGAUGUUGGGUAAAGUCCCGCAACGAGCGCACGAGCGCAACCCUUAU